AGGAUGCAGGCGUUAUCCGGAUUUAUUAGAUUUAAAGGGUGUUCAGGCUGUCUGGUAAGUCAGAGGUGAAAGUCGGUUGCUUAACGAUCGAAUUGCCUUUGAAACUGUCAGACUUGAGUAUGGAUGUGGUAGGCGGAUGUGUAGUGUAGCGGUGAAAUGCAUAGAUAUUACACAGAACUCCAAUUGCGAAAGCAGCUUACCAAACCGGCACUGACGCUGAAGCACGAAAGCGUGGGUAGCGAACAGGAUUAGAUACCCUGGUAGUCCACGCAGUAAACGAUGCUCACUCGCUGUUGGCAAUACACCGUCAGCGGCUAAGGGAAACCGAUAAGUGAGCCACCUGGGGAGUACGAUCGCAAGAUUGAAACUCAAAGGAAUUGACGGGGGCCCGCACAAGCGGUGGAACAUGUGGUUUAAUUCGAUGAUACGCGAGGAACCUUACCUGGGCUUAAAUGUGAAGUGCAUUGUUUGGAAACAGACAUUUCCUUCGGGACUCUUUACAAGGUGCUGCAUGGUUGUCGUCAGCUCGUGCCGUGAGGUGUCGGGUUAAGUCCCAUAACGAGCGCAACCCCUAUUGUUAGUUACCAGCGCGUCAAGGCGGGGACUCUAACGAGACUGCCGGUGUAAACCGCGAGGAAGGUGGGGAUGACGUCAAAUCAGCACGGCCCUUAUGUCCAGGGCUACACACGUGUUACAAUGGUCGGUACAGAGGGCAGCUAGGCAGCGAUGUCAAGCGAAUCUCGAAAGCCGAUCCCAGUUCGGAUUGGAGUCUGCAACCCGACUCCAUGAAGGUGGAAUCGCUAGUAAUCGCGCAUCAGCCAUGGCGCGGUGAAUACGUUCCCGGGCCUUGUACACACCGCCCGUCAAGCCAUGGAAGUCUGGGGUGCCUGAAGGCCGUAACCGCAAGGAGCGGUCUAGGGUAAACAGAUGACUGGGGCUA
rnacentral:rRNA from 1 species